UUCCGGUUGAUCCUGCCGGAGGCCAUUGCUAUCGGAAUCCGAUUUAGCCAUGCUAGUCGCACGGGUCAGACCCGUGGCGAACAGCUCAGUAACACGUGGCCAAACUACCCUGUGGACGAGGAUAAUCUCGGGAAACUGAGGUCAAUCCUUGAUAGGACUUCCAUCCUGGAGUGGAGGAAGUCCAAAAGUUGCUCUGCAGCACCACAGGAUGUGGCUGCGGCCGAUUAGGUAGACGGUGGGGUAACGGCCCACCGUGCCAGUAAUCGGUACGGGUGAUGAGAGUCAGAGCCCGGAGACGGUAUCUGAGACAAGAUACCGGGCCCUACGGGGCGCAGCAGGCGCGAAACCUUUACACUGCACGACAGUGCGAUAGGGGGAUUCCGAGUGCGAGGGCAUACAGUCCUCGCUUUUCUGGACCGUAAGGAGGUCCAAGAAUAAGGGCUGGGCAAGACCGGUGCCAGCCGCCGCGGU
rnacentral:rRNA from 1 species